GCUUGAGUUAGUAUGUUCUAAACCGGGAGAAAAAUAAUUCAAUAGACAUACUAUAUUUCUCGAAAUUGUGCAAGCUCAAAACCCUCUAUUCCCUGACUUAAAAACAUUGUCCAAUCUUUAUUUGUAGGGCUGGAGUUCUUCCAUGACUCAUUGCAGGGUGAGUCGCCACAGCAGGUGUGGUUCAAGGGAGCAGAAUGAGUCAGAUGUGGGAAAACAAGAUCAGUACAAGGGAGUAAUGUCUAACACCAGUUGUGAAAGGUUUUAAGGCAGAAAGGCUUAUCUGUUGAUGCCAUGCAAAGAGCUUCAAAUCCGUGUCGGCAGUCACUCUGGGUAGGUACAUCUGCCUUGUAAAACCAAAAUUUCCAUGUGGUAAGCUAUUUUAAGAUUCAGAGGGGCUGCAAAAGAGCCAACUAAACUAUAAAUCUCACACUAUUAAUGUUCUCAAACAACUUUAUAGUAAAAAUAAAAUAUGUUGAUUUUCAUAUUUCUUUCAAUGGGUUCUGAAAAUAGAUUGUUAUUUCUAACAUUUUAGGCAAUUACAGUAUUUGAGAAACAGAAUUUGGAAACCAACUAACACCUGGAGGUUGAUGCUUUGUUUACAGCCAUGGCAGGUAAAUUUAAUUUCUUUGACAGUACUUCUUAGUUGUUAAGACCCACUUAAAAAUAGCUUCUGAGCCU
rnacentral:lncRNA from 10 species